CAGUAGCGUAUAUUAAAGUUGUUGCAGUUAAAAAGCUCGUAGUUGGACUUCUGGUUUGGUGCGCUCGGCCCGCUCCCUUUAGGGAUGUGAGUGUUGACGCGCGCCUUCCAUCUUUGUACAGGACCUCUCUGCCCUUCAUUGGGACUGGAUUGGCGAUGUGCAUCUUUUACUUUGAGAAAAUUAAAGUGUUCAAAGCAGGCGCUCGCUUGAAUACAUUAGCAUGGAAUAAUAGUAUAGGACUUUGAUCUUAUUUGUUGGUUUUAAAGAUCAAAGUAAUGAUUGAUAGGGACAGUUGGGGGCAUCAGUAUUCUGAAGCGAGAGGUGAAAUUCUUGGACCUUCGGAAGACUAACAACUGCGAAAGCAUUGCCAAGGAUGUUCUCUUAAUCAAGAACGAAAGUUA
rnacentral:rRNA from 1 species